rnacentral:lncRNA from 10 species
GGGCCAGCUAAUGUAGUUUUGGCAGAGUGGUCUGGAAGGGUUUCCAGGAGGAGGUGACAGUUAAGCAGAGACCUAAAGGAAGAGCAGGAGGUAACCAAGUGAAGAAUAAAAAGAGUCUCCAGGAGAGGUGACACUGGGAGGGCAGGAGUUUCUGCCCCUGUGGCGUUGACAGUGAUGUGGGAAGACAGGACUCCUCCCUUCCCUCACUCAGCAGUGCUAACAGGGCCCAGGAUGGCCUCACCCUGGGCUGGGCCUGGGAUCUGGAAGUGAGAUCGCCUGGGCCCCUUCCCCCAGGAGCUCCUGAUUCACUAGGGGAGGCAGGUGUGUGGUGUAAGAAGAGCACCGCAUGGAGGAGGCGGUCUGGAGGAGAGCAGGGGUGCGGUGGGUGCUCCAGGGAGGAGGCUAAGUCUGCACUCAGCCUUGACAAGAGGCACUCACUGGGAAAAAUGAAGCCACAGGUUCCGGAUCGUCAGGGCUGGUGCCUCGCAUCCUCCAUCCUCAUAACUCCCAGUGUGUGGGUGUCCUGAACUGUGUCCUCCUGACCACCCCUCACUCCUGGAGAAGCCUCCACACCAGCCCUCCUUGGUCAGGGUCAGCCUGUCCUCUCUCCUUGUGCUCCCGCGGAGGUGUAGGAAGAUGUCCGUUCCGGAUGCUGAUGAAGAGGAAGAUUUAUAGGCGUGUGUUCCUGAGCUCUCAUUCACUGUCCACAGCCCAACACAUGGCCUAAAAACAACAGAUACGAUGAAAGAGAUCUUGCCUGCAGAUGAAAGCAAGAGGGAAACCGGCCUCCCCCAGCCCUGGCCUGGCCCUGGGCCCACUGCACAUUGUGGUCAAGGCAAAGUCAGGGCUGGGACGUCUGGAGAAGGCCAGAAGGCUCCUGCCCACCCAUGGGCCUGGGGCUUCCAGGGGCCCUGGUGCAAAGCCUCGGAUGAAGUACUGGGGGAGGCAAAAGGAAAUGGAGGCCCUGUUUCUGGGGGCAAUCGGCUGGCAUGCCAGGAAGGGGGCCUUGGCAGAGCCUAGAGUCAGACAGGGUGAUGACAAAUGACCCCGGGGCCCCUCCAGCACCGCCCCUGGGGACUCUGCCUUGCCCACUCUACUCCAGCCACUCAGGCUUCCUUCUGUUCCUUGAAACUCAGCAAGCUCAUCUCCCUCCACCCCAGGGCCUCUGCACACAGUGCCCACACCGCCGGAAUGCUCUCCUCCGCACCCUCCCGAGACCUCCUCGGCCUUCAGGUUUCAGAUUGAAUGAUGCCUCCUCCAAGAGCCUCCGACUGGUGACCCAAUCCAUUCUCCAAUCCAGCCCUCUGUUUUCUUAAUGUACUUGGCACACUUUAUAAUCAUUUGUUGUAGUGAUUAUAGGUGAUUUAAUAAAUUAACAUUUUCAUAUCA